ensembl:lncRNA
CUGGGUCUGACUCUCCCUCCUCUCUUCGUGUCACAGGGAACUCUGACGUAGCAACAUAAAUUGUCCCUGUACCAUGUUGGCGACCAGGUAUGCGGCUAAAUUGAAGUAGCCCUAUUUUCAUCCUAGGUUUGCGGUAGCUACAUUAGUACAUGCGCAAAACCCAAGUCGUUAACUGGACUUUCGAUUGGACUUUAAAAUUGAGGAUCUGGACAUAAAACUAUUAACUGAUAAUCAAGUGGAAGACCACACACAUGAAUAAUAGAGUAUUAUAACUGUAGCAUAUACUGUCGACAACACGUGACUGUGGAGCGCUUCAACUGUAUCCACAGGGGGGGGCAGUGACCAAUCAGAGUAUCAGAAUCAAUGACGUGUUUCCGAAGCGUCGAUUUGCCGACGUGUGUGCAGACGGGGAGAAGGGAAAAACAACUUUUUAUCGGAGUUGUUUCGAGAUGGCUAUGCAUUUUCAUGGAAUAAGGCUAGUAAGCAUAUAAUUUCUCAAUUGAAUACAGACGGUUGACGUAAACAACCCUCAUCGAAUAUUCAAAACUGGAUUACAAUAAUGAGAUGCAUCCACCAAUCCAAAGAAAGGAUAUGCGGGAGUUAGGCAGCCCGGCGUGUCGCUUUGUGGACAACGACUCUCAUUAUUAGAGCGGAGAGACAUGUAACCUGUCAGUAUAGCCAUAAUCUUUGAUAAAAGUCCAUUAACAAAGAAGUAGACCAGACCCAGCUGCUAUUGCAUUGGUGUCUAUAGGAGACACAUCUAGUAGACUGGAACUUAUCUUUUUUUUUUUUUUUGCAAAACGGCGAGUGAACCAUCUUCAUUUAUCCACCAUCUUUGGUGUGUUCAGAAGGAUGCAGAGUAUGUAAACAAACAACAAUGACAGCCGUAGGCCUGGUUCUUUGCAGCCAGACGUUAGUUCUGCAUAGUUAUCAAGGUAUAUCAGACCCAUAUCCAUCAGUACAGAACACCUGUCGGCUCUGCGGACAAAAUCUGCUCAUCAAAGGGACAUUACAGGCAACACGAAGAAUAUUUGACAAGCCCAAAGCCUCGAAGGACAAAAAGUUAUGUGACAGAUUCCUUGCCACCGGUUUAGUGCUAACUGAGGCACCAGGGGUGAAGUCGGGCAGAAUUUGUGCGAAGUGCUAUCGAGUAUUUCUCAGGAUAGAGGAAUCUGUAAGCAUUUUAAAGAAAUGGCAGUCAGAGCAUCAGACACCGGGGACGAGCAAGAAGAGGAGGCGUGAACUGGAGCCGAGUCCAUCUGAAACAGACAGGGCUGCCAAGAAGACAUCUGAACGGGAGCCGAGUCCAUCUGAAACAGACAAGGGAGCCAAGAAGACAUGUCCUCCCUAUAAAAAGGUUCCCCCGAGGAGCAGUCUUGUCGAGGUUGUCAUAACAUACCCGAACCAAUUGGAUCCAAAGAGGGUCAAGAAGGUUUCAUCAGAAUUUUCUGGAAUGGUUGAAAACCUGGCGAAAGGCAAACUGGCGACAUUUGUCAGGUUAGCCUUGACGAAUGAGACCAUGUGUCAAGAAAUCAGAAAGCAGAUGACGCAGAAAAUAGAAGCAGAGGUCAAGGCAUAUGCAAGACCCUUAAAUUACUUGACCUCUGCUGAACCUUGCAUUUUGAGUAGUACCUCGUUGGAGAAAAUGAAGUAUUUUUCAUACGAAGCGUUGGAUAAUGAGUUGUCCAGGAAGACACCAUGGCUUUAUACCACCAUCAAUACUGCAACAGGUGGUUCCACCAUCCAUAACUGUGUGGCUGCCUCUGUGGUCCUGAGAGGUAGAAACCCCAGGCUUUCUGCACUGGCCUAUGUCAUCAACACAACACUGACCCAAGGGGGGGUUAAGCCCAUUUUCAAAAGACUCUCUAAAAUGGGCAUAACAACCACACAUAGCAAUGUCCUAAAUAAGCAGAAAGAGAUGAAGGCAGCUGGGUACAACAUCAACAUCAAAUGCUGGAGGGAGGACUGUGAGCUGUUUUUCCAACAUAGUGUCAGCGGUGAAGUCUGCCCACGACCUCCUCCUACGGCUAAACCGACAGAGGAGACCGGAAGAGAGGAGGACGGGGGGCCAGUGGAGGAUGAGUUUGAAAUAGAGCUGGACUGGGGUCCACUGGAGGAAGAGGGUGAAGAAGAUGAGGAAGAGUGGAGUCCACUGUCAGAAGAGACAGAAAGAGAGGAGGAUAGAGGAUCAACAGUACAGGAAGAGAGAGAAGAAGAGAAAGACAGGGGUUCCCUGCUAGGAGAGACAGAAACAGAGGAAGCGGGACAUGCAUCAUCAGCACUACAAGGAAAUGACACACAGGAAGAGGACUCUGAUUCAACGGUGGAUUCAGAGACGGAAUACUUUGGAUUAAACCUCACCUGUGAGAGUGAUUAGAGAAGUAGCCUAACAAAGAGUCUGUAGAUUACAGAUCUAGGCCUAGGCUACAUCUCUGAACAACAAGGAACUAAUCAUAGUCUCUGGCCAAAAUGGCACCCUAUUCCCCUAUAUAGUGCACUACUUUUGACCAGACCCUAUGGAGUAACAAGUGCACUACUUUUCACCUGGGCCAUUUGGGACAGAAUCAUACAGUGAAAUUACUCCUGUUGAGGGGGUCAGGAUGUGAUGUCUACUGUUCCUGGUGUGUAUUGAGGGGGUCAGGAUGUGAGGUCUACUGUUCCUGGUGUGUAUUGAGGGGGUCCGGAUGUCAGGUCUACUGUUCCUGGUGUGUGUACAGUGUGUUUACAACCAUAUUAAAGAGACCAGUUCAAUUCAAACUUUAUUGUCCCAGCAGGGAGUAUUUCAUUGUGUAGCUAAGAGUACAUAGCUGCUCAACAAAAACUUCAAUUUUUGUUAUUUGGUACUCCCCAAAAUGGCACCCUAUUCCCUAAUAUAGUGCACGACUUACCCCAUAGGGCUCUGGUCAAAAGUAGUGCACUAGUUACUCCAUAGGGCUCUGGUCAAAAGUAGUGCACUAGUUACUCCAUAGGGCCCUGGUCAAAAGUAGUGCACUAGUUACUCCAUAGGGCUCUGGUCAAAAGUAGUGCACUAGUUACUCCAUAGGGCCCUGGUCAAAAGUAGUGCACUAGUUACUCCAUAGGGCUCUGGUCAAAAGUAGUGCACUAGUUACUCCAUAGGGCCCUGGUCAAAAGUAGUGCACUAGUUACUCCAUAGGGCCCUGGUCAAAAGUAGUGCACUAGUUACUCCAUAGGGCUCUGGUCAAAAGUAGUGCACUAGUUACUCCAUAGGGCUCUGGUCAAAAGUAGUGCACUAGUUACUCCAUAAGGCUCUGGUCAAAAGUAGUGCACUAGUUACUCCAUAGGGCCCUGGUCAAAAGUAGUGCACUAGUUACUCCAUAGGGCUCUGGUCAAAAGUAGUGCACUAGUUACUCCAUAGGGCUCUGGUCAAAAGUAGUGCACUAGUUACUCCAUAGGGCUCUGGUCAAAAGUAGUGCACUAGUUACUCCAUAGGGCUCUGGUCAAAAGUAGUGCACUAGUUACUCCAUAAGGCUCUGGUCAAAAGUAGUGCACUAGUUACUCCAUAGGGCCCUGGUCAAAAGUAGUGCACUAGUUACUCCAUAGGGCCCUGGUCAAAAGUAGUGCACUAGUUACUCCAUAGGGCUCUGGUCAAAAGUAGUGCACUAGUUACUCCAUAGGGCCCUGGUCAAAAGUAGUGCACUAGUUACUCCAUAGGGCCCUGGUCAAAAGUAGUGCACUAUACAGGGAAUAGUGUUCCAUUUGUGAAGCCACUCAAGAUGAUCCAGACCAUAAACAACAAAUAAAUAGAAAUUAUAAUACCAAUUCAUUUUUUAAAUGACCUCGAGUUUGCCAGAGAUAUUGGACUCAUAUGUUGUACAAACUAGUGUCAAUCCCGACAUCACAUGUAGUAAUCAGUUUAGAUACAGCGUAGUCUCAAAGCUGACUGGAGUUGUCAGUUCAGAUGUUCUGUUUUCCAAAUCAGAACUAGUUCAAGUGGUGUAAAAUGACUUGCUCUCCUCUCCUUCAUCUGUGGUCUGCAUUAUUAUUAUUAUUAACCUUUAUUUAACUAGGUAGGUCAGUUUUAAGAACAAAUUCGAAAAUAUUUUCAAUGACGGCCUAGGAACAGUGGGUUAACUGCCUUGUUCAGGGGCAGAACGACAGAUUUUUACCUUGUCAGCUCCGGGAUUCGAUCCAUCAACCUUUCGGUUACUAGUCCAACGCUCUAACAACUAGGCUACCUGCCUCCCCUCUAAACCACUAGGCUACCUGCCUCCCCUCUAAACCACUAGGCUACAUGCCUCCCCUCUAAACCACUAGGCUACAUGCCUCCCCUCUAAACCACUAGGCUACCUGCCUCCCCUCUAAACCACUAGGCUACAUGCCUCCCCUCUAAACCACUAGGCUACAUGCCUCCCCUCUAAACCACUAGGCUACAUGCCUCCCCUCUAAACCACUAGGCUACAUGCCUCCCCUCUAAACCACUAGGCUACCUUCCGCCCCUCUAACCACUAGGCUACCUGACGCCCCUCUAAACCACUAGGCUACCUGCCGCCCC